rnacentral:rRNA from 1 species
GACGAACGCUGGCGGCGUGCUUAACACAUGCAAGUCGAGCGGUAAGGCCCUUUCGGGGGUACACGAGCGGCGAACGGGUGAGUAACACGUGGGUGACCUGCCCUCAGCUCUGGGAUAAGGCCUGGGAAACCGGGUCUAAAUACCGGAUAUGACUCCAUGACGCAUGUUGUGGGGUGGAAAAGCCGUUGUGCGGCUGAGGAUGGGCCCGCGGCCUAUCAGCUUGUUGGUGGGGNGAUGGCCUACCAAGGCGACGACGGGUAGCCGGCCUGAGAGGCGACGGCCACACUGGGACUGAGACACGGCCCAGACUCCUACGGGAGGCAGCAGUGGGGAAUCUUGCGGCAAUGGGCGAAAGCCUGACGCAGCGACGCCGCGUGAGGGAUGACGGCCU